rnacentral:rRNA from 1 species
AUUGAACGCUGGCGGCAUGCCUUACACAUGCAAGUCGAACGGCAGCGCGGACUUCGGCCUGGCGGCGAGUGGCGAACGGGUGAGUAAUACAUCGGAACGUACCCUGUUGUGGGGGAUAACUAGUCGAAAGAUUAGCUAAUACCGCAUACGACCUGAGGGUGAAAGUGGGGGACCGCAAGGCCUCACGCAGCAGGAGCGGCCGAUGCCGGAUUAGCUAGUUGGUAGGGGAAAGGCCCACCAAGGCGACGAUCAGUAGCUGACCUGAGAGGGCGAUCAGCCACACUGGAACGGAGACACGGUCCAGACUCCUACGGGAGGCAGCAGUAGGGAAUCUUCCGCAAUGGGCGAAAGCCUGACGGAGCAACGCCGCGUGAGUGAUGAAGGUCUUCGGAUCGUAAAACUCUGUUAUUAGGGAAGAACAAAUGUGUAAGUAACUAUGCACGUCUUGACGGUACCUAAUCAGAAAGCCACGGCUAACUACGUG